UGAUCACCAAUGAUAUUUAUGUAAUAUUUACACAUGACUAAAUGUUAGGUCUUAUGUAAUAUUUUCUUUUUAAUAAGAUAGAUUUGAAAAGUGAUAUUAAAAUUGUGGCUAGAUUUAUCUUCUCAAUCGAAAUCAAGAGUAAACAAAAAGCCAUACACCCUCUCCUCUUACAUGAAAAAAAGUAUGAGGGAGCUAGCUGUUGAAUUGGUGAUUUGGUAGGAUUUUGUUUUUUGUCCAAAUCUCACCUUAUUGGAUCUAGUAUUUACAAAAGUUAUCUUUUAUAAAAAAGAGUAAACAAAAAGCCAUACACCCUCUCCUCUUACAAAAAGCCAUACACCCUCUUCUCAAUCGAAAUCAAGAUAACUUUUGUAAAUACUAGAUCCAAUAAGGUGAGAUUUGGACAAAAAACAAAAUCCUACCAAAUCA
rnacentral:lncRNA from 1 species